ensembl:miRNA mir26a-2 microRNA 26a-2
AGUGGCUGUUCCCUUGUUCAAGUAAUCCAGGAUAGGCUGUCUGUCCUGGGAGGCCUAUUCAUGAUUACUUGCACUAGGUGGCAGCCGUUU